UUGCCCAGGCUGGUCAGGACUGUUGAUGGCAUGUGACAGAAACCAGCCAGCUCUAGUUCCCCACCACCUUUCACUCUACGCCUUUCUGCAUCUUCCCAGUCUCAAUAAGUGUCACUUCCAUCCUUCAAGUUGCCCAAGCCCUGAAUCUCAAUGUUAACCUUGAUUUCUCUCUUUUAUCUCAUAGCCGAUAUGAAGGCGAAUCAUGUUCAGACCCAGGUGAAGUUUCCUGCGGACCCAGGCUCUCACCAGCAGAUUCCCCUAACUGUCCUCCUGAGGGUGUCUGGAGUUUCAGCGCUGUGUGCUCUUGGGUUUCAGGCUGGGGCACCACUGACUCCUGCUGUCCAGGGCUUUUAGUGACUCUCCGAGGCACUGAUGUAGAAUCUUCCCCAUUUGAUGCACCAAGAGCAGCCUCACAUGGCGUGGGCUGACCUGAAGAGCUGCCAGGUCCAACAGGUAAAAAUCAUGAGAGCCUAAGCUGAGUCCACACCCUGGAAGCCAAGAACUGAGAGAACAGAUGGAAGAAAGAAAGUCAACAGGUUUCAGAAAAGAGAGAAUAACCUGCAAAGGACAAGUCAAUGGUAGAACAGAAGCCUGCACUAUCUGGAGCACUGAGGCUGUCUCAAGCUAACUGAUCUGCUCUCUGGAUUCCGGGGACCCCCACAGAGCCAGAGGUUGAAGGCACAGGCAUUGAUAUCUCCGACUGUUCUGACUCCAGGUUGGUGCACCUCAGUGCCCAGUAUUAACCACACAGUAACAGGAUGCCACCAACAUUUUGAUUUGGGGCUGUUGCAUCCUAACUUUAAUAAAAUGUAAUAGACAUUAUUUUUUAGAAUAAUUCUAGGUUUACAGAUAAAUUGAGCUGAUAGCACAGGGAAUUCCCCUACUCUCUCUUGUCCCUUAGCACACAAUUUCCUCUAUCAUUGGUAUCUUGCGUUAGUGUGAUACAUGUUUACAAUUGAUUAAUCAAUAAUUGAUAUGAUAUUAUUAA